GACUAGGCGAAAGCUGAUCAUCCAUUCCGCGUGAGUGAAGAAGGCCUUCGGGUUGUAAAGCUCUUUCGGCGGGGAAGAAAUCGCGCUUGUUAAUACCUUGCGUGGAUGACGGUACCUGAAGAAGAAGCACCGGCUAACUACGUGCCAGCAGCCGCGGUAAUACGUAGGGUGCGAGCGUUAAUCGGAAUUACUGGGCGUAAAGCGUGCGCAGGCGGUUUUGUAAGACAGCUGUGAAAUCCCCGGGCUCAACCUGGGAACUGCGGUUGUGACUGCAAGGCUAGAGUACGGCAGAGGGGGGUGGAAUUCCACGUGUAGCAGUGAAAUGCGUAGAUAUGUGGAGGAACACCAAUGGCGAAGGCAGCCCCCUGGGUCGAUACUGACGCUCAUGCACGAAAGCGUGGGGAGCAAACAGGAUUAGAUACCCUGGUAGUCCACGCCCUAAACGAUGCCAACUAGGUGUUGGGGAAGGAGACUUCCUUAGUACCGAAGCUAACGCGUGAAGUUGGCCGCCUGNGGAGUACGGUCGCAAGAUUAAAACUCAAAGGAAUUGACGGGGACCCGCACAAGCGGUGGAUGAUGUGGAUUAAUUCGAUGCAACGCGAAAAACCUUA
rnacentral:rRNA from 1 species